AGGCCUAGGAUCGGCAAGGCCUGCAAACUGCAGAGCUCUUCUCUCCCCGCCUCUCAGCUGAUCGGCGGGUGGGCGGGGCUUCCAGAGAGGCCUCCCAGUAGGCCUCCCUGAAGCCUGAACUCGAGUAGGCCCCAAGCAAGGAGGGAGGAAGCAGGCAGCAGACCCUCUGCCCAGACCAGCCCAUCCAGAACAGCUAUUGCUAGGUGGUGCUUCCUACCCAGUUGGUUGUUCCAAGAUAAUGCCUCCUUUUCAAGUUGGCUUGGCUUCCAAGUUGCUUAUGUGGUCAAAGAACAAACUGAUUGAAGUAUCAGGAAGAUUGUGUUGCUUGCAAGUGCAACUGAAAAAUCACUUGACAUUAGAUGGGACGUCAAAAGCUAUGUCCAGGGUCGGACGAAACAGCGGGUGGUUCGAUUCAACCCUGGACCAUGGAACCGAACUAGCUCGAGGUCGAACCUGUUCGCACAUCCUGGCUGCAUUACUUGUACUAUGCGACCAGAGGGAAGUCUAAAAGGUCAGCUUUAAAAUGACCAGGUUAAUGAAAGGAAGAAGCAGGCCCAGAUUACUCUACAUUUACUUUUCCCAUGUACAGACGGAGGUGCAGACGGAGGUUGAAAUGACUGAGGAACAUAGGGACGAAAUGCCGAUUGAUGUACAUAUGGAGGGAUGUAAAUCAGAUGAAGUCUGAAGAUAAGAUAUGCACAAAUGGUUUAGUGGACACCGAAAUCCUGCGCUUGAGACCAGGUCCUGUGUGUAGAGUCUCAAGACUGCAGAAUCACAGAAGACCAGGCAUUCCUGAGCAAGGCUUACCGUUUUUCUUGAGGGGUGCCAUCCUUAGUUGAAGAAUGCUGAGAGCGUAUCUGUUUGUCAAGAAAAAGAGAGGAAAGACCAUGAGCAACCAACCACCACGUAAAGAUUUCCUGCAUCUGGCCAGAGCCAAUGAUUUGGGUGGGCAACCAAGAAAUUGGUUUGUAAGCAUUCCUAUAAUUAUAGUCCUCCUAAAAAAGAGAGGUGUUGGAGCUCAUUGUUGCUUGGAUCUCCCAACUCUAAUCCCUGUUGUGAGGAAAUGCCUGUGGUUAGUCAGGGGUAAGGGAAUGACACUGAACGUGCUCAGAGGCCCUACUGUCUUUGCACUCUUCAGGUCUGAGCUCUGGGAUUAGGAACAGCAGCUGAGUUCAGCAGAAGUUGAGGCAGGAUGAACUCUGGCUCAAAUUAAAGCUCUCUACAAAGCAUGAGUAUUUGGCAUAUCCCCUGUCAAUCAAUUCAAUUUAUUACAGCCAUAGGCCAUACAGAGAACAUACAAAGAUUAAAAAAGGAUUAAAAACACAAUAUGCGAACAAUAAUAUAAUACAUAAAAACAGGACAAAGCAAUAGCUCCUAUGAAUAAGACCUUAAACAAGAUCUUAGUCUGAUAGCAACAUAAAAGAAUUUCGCCGCCACCUUGGUAACCUCAUUAUUUUGAUCCUCAAGGCAGAUGUGAAAGUAGUUCUUCCUCAGCUGGAGGAGACCGUGUCUUUUGAGACAUUCACUUCCCAUCCCAAGCCCUUGGAUAUGGCAGUUAAUAAAUCCAACUUCAAAAUGCAUUUUUAGCUUACCUCAAACAGGCAAAUGACUGAAAUGAUCAUCGUUACCACUGCACUCACUGAUAUAGCAAACAGCCUUUUGCCAUAGCCAGAUUCUGGGAUUCCCUGGCUUCCAAUCUGCAAGGUGGGACAAAGGAAAGGAAAAUGGAAAAUAGGCUUUUUGUGUUUCUACUUUUUCUCCCCACCCCCAAAUAAAAAACACCACUUGUAUUGCUCUCUGUUGAGUUUGCUCUCAUAUGGACAUAUGCAAUUGUCUUAUACCAAGUCAAACAUUGGUCCAUUCAGCCCAGUACUGUCUACUCCAUUUUACAGCUGCUCUCAGCCCUGAAGCCUUAACUAAGAUGCUAGAGAUUAAACCUGAGCUCUCCUGAAUUCAAGACAUGGGGAAUUGCCAAACAGAGAACCACUCUAUUUGAAAAUUGAAGUUCACACAAUUUCUCCACGGGGUGAUCUGCCGAGUUUGUUGGCCAUCGUGCAAUUUCACAGCAUUACCUGCUGACCAUCUGCUACCAAUCUAUGACGGAAAUCAAGUCUUUUGAGACCAUCACAGAUUGGCAGCAAAUGGCCAGCAGGUGGUGCUGUGAAAUUGUGUGAUGGUUAGUGACAUCAUCUGAAGGCAUCAUGCAGAAGUGGUAAGAACCUCCAUUUUCAAACACAAUAUUUCUUCAUCUGGAAACACCCAUGAUUCAGCCACAUGCUUCCUCUCAGAUGCAGCCACAGGGUGUUUGCAGGCCCUAGAGAAUGAACUUUUUGGCCUCUGUUUUCCUUAUUAAAUGUCAUAACGUAUAAUUAAGAAUCUUCUUUGCUCCAGCACCACAGUUUGUAACCUGCACCUGAGCUCCUCUGUUUCUGCUAAUUUCCUGUUGCUGUUGUUUAAUUUUAAUUUGUUCCUCUUCAUCAUCCAUUAGUCUCUAUGUUGCUAUGUUAUAAAAACAGGUAUACAAGAAAAAGGCUUAAGAUUUGCAUUCCUUCUUAGAAUACCUCUCAAACCAAAGUUCAAAAGCAAAUACUGAACAUUUACAAAAUCCUACAAUCCAGGAUAAAGAUAGAUGUUAGAUUUUUUUUUCUGAUUCCAGAGAGCUGAAAGUGGUAUGAUUGAGCCAUUGUCAUUCAUGCUGUGCAAAGUCAUUUUUAUGGCACAGUGUCUUCUUUGGUCAAAUAAGUUUUGCAGGUCUUUAUAGUCCAAGCUGCAAAAAUCGCCCCCAUUCAAGGGAGGUAUGUGUGAGUGUGAGAAAGGGAGAGCGAAUGAGUGAGAGAGAGCAUGAGAUCACACAGGCCAUGUGGAUUCUUUCAUUCCACCUUGAGUUCUCUUCAAAACCAUAUUAUCAGCUUUCUAGUAUGUGCAAAAACCUCAUUCCACUCUACUUUGUCCCUUUCAACCCAGAUCAACCUGACUCUGCCUCUCCUUGCCUUUGAUUUCUUGCUUCUUUACAUGCUGUGGCCCUUGGCUGCAGGCCAUAUCCACAGAUGCUGAUCCCUUGAGCCAAUUUGCACCUACCCAGUCACAGCUGAGUGGCCCACUAACCACUUUCAGCCAUUUUCCAGGAAGGAGUCAAACCAAAACUCAACCUAAACUGAAAAACGGUUUCAGAAUUGUGUUCAGUGUACCAAAACUGCACCCAAAUCUAAACUCUUGGUUGCCUUGAACUGGAGCCAAACCCCUUAUCACAAAAAGUGGCAACUAGUUUAUUUAUUUAUUUAACAUAAUUCUAUACUGCCCCAAACUUGUGACUCUGGGUGGUUUACAAUUAAAAUCCUUUAGAAAUUAAAUCAAUUAAACAAUUAAAAUCAUUUAAACAUUAAAAUCAUUUAAACAUUAAAAUCAUUUAAAAUUCCACAUUAAAAAUAUUAAAACUAUAAAUCUAACUAAAAACCUGAGUGAAUAAAUAUGUCUUCACAGUGACUUUUUAAAAGUUGCCAGAGAUGGGGAAGCUCUUAUUUCAACAAAAGGCUUUUGGUUAAAAAAAAAGUGGCUAAAUAAUGUGGUUCAAAACAACCUAUUUAAUUGUACGUUUUAUAUUUUAUUUUCCUGUUCUUUUAAUCCUGUUCCAUGUAUUUUGUUUGUAAAAACCAUUAACAGAAAUGAAAAAUUCUGUUAAAAUUUUAAAUAUACAUUAAAAAGAUUAUAUAUAUAUAUAUAUAUA